rnacentral:tRNA from 1 species
AAGAUUUUAAGUUAAUUAAACUAUUAACCUUCAAAGUUAAAAUUAAAUAAUUAUUAUUUAAAUCUUA